AUGAACGCUGGCGGCGUGCCUAAUACAUGCAAGUCGAGCGAACGGACGAGAAGCUUGCUUCUCUGAUGUUAGCGGCGGACGGGUGAGUAACACGUGGAUAACCUACCUAUAAGACUGGGAUAACUUUGGGAAACCGGAGCUAAUACCGGAUAAUAUUUUGAACCGCAUGGUUCAAAAGUGAAAGACGGUCUUGCUGUCACUUAUAGAUGGAUCCGCGCUGCAUUAGCUAGUUGGUAAGGUAACGGCUUACCAAGGCAACGAUGCAUAGCCGACCUGAGAGGGUGAUCGGCCACACUGGAACUGAGACACGGUCCAGACUCCUACGGGAGGCAGCAGUAGGGAAUCUUCCGCAAUGGGCGAAAGCCUGACGGAGCAACGCCGCGUGAGUGAUGAAGGUCUUCGGAUCGUAAAACUCUGUUAUUAGGGAAGAACAUAUGUGUAAGUAACUGUGCACAUCUUGACGGUACCUAAUCAGAAAGCCACGGCUAACUACGUG
rnacentral:rRNA from 1 species